CAAUUCUAUUUAUACCAAUUACAUAAUUUAAAUAACAUUGCAAGCAACUAACUCCACUAUUAAAAUUAAAGCCAAGGCACGAAAAUAGGUAAAAUGACGAAAAUGCCCCUCAUGCCAAUGUCUCGGAAUGGAAUAAUUUUCCCAUUUUCAGAAACCUCGUACUCUCACGAGUCUAACCAUACAAAAAUCUCCCAAAUAGGAGGUCAAAUGCCCCUCAAAAUCCUCAUAAUUAGGUCUGUGAAAUUUACCCCAAUUUUCAUUCAAAAUCCGAAAUUAAAGGUUGAAUUUACGUUUAGAUUAGUGGGUUUUAGUCAUAGAGGAGAAAGGAAUCGUUACCCAAUCGUUGUGCCUAAAAAACAUUCGAAAAAUCCCUCAAAUCCGAGCUCUCUAGCUUGAGUUUUUGUAAAAAUGGAAGAACCCUCAUUUUUGAAAUAUUAAUAAUGGACAGAACAUUUGUACAUCACGAUCG
rnacentral:lncRNA from 1 species